rnacentral:lncRNA from 1 species
GAGAUGUAUCCUGAGGAAAGGGCAGAUAUCAAGUGGAGCUAUCCCAAAAAGGAAAGAACAUGCUACAGGAAACCGAAUCAAGCAGCUCAUCUUCUUGAUGAAGAGCAUGCUUGUAUGUGUUCAGCCCUGGUGAUGGAGAGCAUGCUUAUACGUGUUCAGUGCUGGUGAUAAAGCAUCCUUCUACGGAGAGCAUGAUUGUACGUGUUCAGCGUUGGUGAUGGAGCAUCCUCCUAAUAACAGGCUUGGCUGAGGCGGUCAGCUGUGUCAAGAUGAAGCUGAACAUCUCCUUCCCUGCCAAUGACUGUCAGAAACUCAUUGAAGUGGAUGACGAACGCAAGCUCCACACACUCUAUGAGAAGCGCAUGGCCACAGAAGUUGCUGCUGACGCUCUUGGUGAAGAGUGGAAGGGUUAUGUGGUCCAGAUCAGCGGUGGGA